rnacentral:rRNA from 1 species
UUCGCAAUGCCCGAAAGGGUGAACGAGCGACGCCGCGUGCGGGAUAAAGGUCUUCGGGUUGUAAACUCCUGUCGAGGGGGAGGAAGGGGCAACCUUGACCGAUCCCUGGAGGAAGCACGGGCUAAGUUCGUGCCAGCAGCCGCGGUAAGACGAACCGUGCGAACGUUAUUCGGAAUCACUGGGCUUAAAGCGCGUGUAGGCGGAUGGGAACGUCGGUCUUUGAAAGCCCCCGGCUCAACCGGGGAAGCGGAGCCGAAACGGCCGAUCUGGAGGGACGUAGGGGGACCUGGAACUUCCGGUGGAGCGAUGAAAUGCGUUGAGAUCGGAAGGAACGCCCGUGGCGAAAGCGAGGUCCUGGACGUCUGCUGACGCUGAGACGCGAAAGCUAGGGGAGCAAACGGGAUUAGAUACCCCGGUAGUCCUAGCCGUAAACGAUGGGCACUAAGUAGAGGGGUUUU